rnacentral:rRNA from 1 species
GAUGAACGCUGGCGGCGUGCCUAAUACAUGCAAGUCGAGCGAACGGACGAGAAGCUUGCUUCUCUGAUGUUAGCGGCGGACGGGUGAGUAACACGUGGAUAACCUACCUAUAAGACUGGGAUAACUUCGGGAAACCGGAGCUAAUACCGGAUAAUAUUUUGAACCGCAUGGUUCAAAAGUGAAAGACGGUCUUGCUGUCACUUAUAGAUGGAUCCGCGCUGCAUUAGCUAGUUGGUAAGGUAACGGCUUACCAAGGCAACGAUGCAUAGCCGACCUGAGAGGGUGAUCGGCCACACUGGAACUGAGACACGGUCCAGACUCCUACGGGAGGCAGCAGUAGGGAAUCUUCCGCAAUGGGCGAAAGCCUGACGGAGCAACGCCGCGUGAGUGAUGAAGGUCUUCGGAUCGUAAAACUCUGUUAUUAGGGAAGAACAUAUGUGUAAGUAACUGUGCACAUCUUGACGGUACCUAAUCAGAAAGCCACGGCUAACUACGUGCCAGCAGCCGCGGUAAUACGUAGGUGGCAAGCGUUAUCCGGAAUUAUUGGGCGUAAAGCGCGCGUAGGCGGUUUUUUAAGUCUGAUGUGAAAGCCCACGGCUCAACCGUGGAGGGUCAUUGGAAACUGGAAAACUUGAGUGCAGAAGAGGAAAGUGGAAUUCCAUGUGUAGCGGUGAAAUGCGCAGAGAUAUGGAGGAACACCAGUGGCGAGGGCGACUUUCUGGUCUGUAACUGACGCUGAUGUGCGAAAGCGUGGGGAUCAAACAGGAUUAGAUACCCUGGUAGUCCACGCCGUAAACGAUGAGUGCUAAGUGUUAGGGGGUUUCCGCCCCUUAGUGCUGCAGCUAACGCAUUAAGCACUCCGCCUGGGGAGUACGACCGCAAGGUUGAAACUCAAAGGAAUUGACGGGGACCCGCACAAGCGGUGGAGCAUGUGGUUUAAUUCGAAGCAACGCGAAGAACCUUACCAAAUCUUGACAUCCUUUGACAACUCUAGAGAUAGAGCCUUCCCCUUCGGGGGGGCAAAGUGACAGGUGGUGCAUGGUUGUCGUCAGCUCGUGUCGUGAGAUGUUGGGUUAAGUCCCGCAACGAGCGCAACCCUUAAGCUUAGUUGCCAUCAUUAAGUUGGGCACUCUAAGUUGACUGCCGGUGACAAACCGGAGGAAGGUGGGGAUGACGUCAAAUCAUCAUGCCCCUUAUGAUUUGGGCUACACACGUGCUACAAUGGACAAUACAAAGGGCAGCGAAACCGCGAGGUCAAGCAAAUCCCAUAAAGUUGUUCUCAGUUCGGAUUGUAGUCUGCAACCCGACUACAUGAAGCUGGAAUCGCUAGUAAUCGUAGAUCAGCAUGCUACGGUGAAUACGUUCCCGGGUCU